GGGUUAUAGGAUAAGGGGUUAUGGGGUUUUAGGGUUAUAGGGUGGGUUAUGGGAUUAUAGGAUAAGGGGUUAUGGGGUAUGGGGUUACAGGGUGGGUUAUGGGGUUAUAGGAUAAGGGGUUAUGGGGUUAUAGGGUGGGUUAUGGGGUUAUAGGAUUAUAGGAUAUGGGGUUAUGGGGUUAUAGGCUGGGUUAUGGGGUUAUAGAGUUAUGGGGUUCUGGGUUUAUAGGGUAUGGGGUCAUGGGGUGUGUUAUGGGGUGUGUUAUGGGGUUAUAGGAUGGGUUAUAGGGUUAUGGGGUUAUAGGAUAUGGGGUUAUAGGGUUGGUUAUGGGGCCAUACCUGCAUCCAGGGGCUGAACGGUGUAGUUGGUUACAGAGGUGUGGGACGUGUUGAAACAUAUGUCACCUAUAGGGCCGUUAUAGGGGAUAUGGGGUCACUAUAGGGGAUAUGGGGCCGUUAUAGGGGAUAUGGGGUCACUAUAGGAGAUUAUGGGGCCGUUAUAGGGGAUAUGGGGUCGUUAUAGAGGAUUAUGGGGCCGUUAUAGAGGAUUAUGGGGUGGCAAUGGGGGAUAUAGGGCCAUUAUAGGGGGUUGUGGGGUCAUUAUAGGGGGUUAUGGGGCCAUAAUGAGGGAUAUGGAGCAGUAGUGGGGGAUGUGGGACCCCAAACCCCACAUAGGAUCCCCCAAACCCCAAAAGCGUUUAUAGGGCCCCAGUGGGGACCUUAUGGGGGUCCCACAACCCCAAAUCCCAUAUAGGAACCCCCCAACCCCAUAAGCGUUUAUAGGACCUCAGUGGGGACCUUAUGGGGGUCCUCCACCCCAUAUAGGAUCCCCCAAGCCCCAUAACUGAUGGGGGACCCCAAUGGGGGCCUUAUGGGGGUCCCACAACCCCAAAUCCCAUAUAGGAACCGCACAACCCCAUAAGCGUUUAUAGGACCCCAAUGGGGACCCUCUAUGGCUGCGCCCCCUCACGUGACCCCUCACGUGACUUCCGCCCCUUCACGCGACCACCCCCGCUGGCACGUGACUUCCGCCCCCCACUCACGUGACCCCCCACUCACACGUGACCGCGCUGCAUUGGCUGCAAUUGGCGACGGUGGCCGCCAGGAGGUCCUCCACGAGGUCCUCCACGACGGUGGGGGCGUCAGUCCCCGCCGCGACCCGAAGGAGCACAUCUCCUGCAAAUCCUCGUGCAAACCACCCCCAUCGUGCAACCCCUCGUGCAAAGCACCACGUGACCCCGGGGAGCUCCUUGUGCUCGCAGCCCUCGUGCAACCACAGCCCACCGUGACGUCAACCCUCGUGCAAACCCUCGUGCAAACCACCCCCAGUCGUGCAAACCACCCCCAGUUGUGCAAACCACCCCCAGUCGUGC
ensembl:lncRNA